CCUACGGGUGGCAGCAGUGAGGAAUAUUGGUCAAUGGGCGCGAGCCUGAACCAGCCAAGCCGCGUGAAGGAUGACUGCCCUACGGGUUGUAAACUUCUUUUAUCAAGGAAUAAAGUGGGGCACGUGUGCCUUUUUGUAUGUACCUUAUGAAUAAGCAUCGGCUAACUCCGUGCCAGCAGCCGCGGUAAUACGGAGGAUCCGAGCGUUAUCCGGAUUUAUUGGGGUUAAAGGGGGCGUAGAUGGGUUGUUAAGUCAGUUGUGAAAGGUUGCGGCUCAACCGUAGAAUUGCAUUUGAUACUGGCAGUCGUGAGUACAGUUGAGGUAGGCGGAAUUCGUGGUGUAGCGGUGAAAUGCGUAGAUAUCACGAAGAACUCCGAUUGCGAAGGCAGCCUACUAGACUGCCACUGACGUUGAGGCUCGAAAGUGUGGGUAUCAAACAGGAUUAGAUACCCGUGUAGUC
rnacentral:rRNA from 1 species